rnacentral:rRNA from 1 species
CGACGUGACUGUGAAUCAUCGAAUCUUUGAACGCAUCUUGCACUUUUCAGGUCUCCUGGAAAGUAUACUUGUUUGAGUAUCAUAAACAUCAAUCCAAGAAGUUCUUCUUGGGAAUUGAGGCUUUUAGGAAGCUUGCUUCUUAUGCCUUUAAAUGUAUACGUGAGGCGAUUCUAAAUGGUUAACCCCAUCUAGAAGCCUUCUUAACAAAUGUGAGAUAAUUAUCGCACAGAAAUGUUGAGGAGGUCAAGUCUUGCUACACACUGAGGCUUUAACCAGCUUCAACAUACCAAAUCUUUGAUCUCAAAUCAAGUAAGACUACCCGCUGAACUUAAGCAUAUCAAUAAGCGGAGG